rnacentral:rRNA from 1 species
ACUCUCGGCAACGGAUAUCUCGGCUCUCGCAUCGAUGAAGAACGUAGGAAAUGCGAUACCUGGUGUGAAUUGCAGAAUCCCGCGACCAUCGAGUCUUUGAAGCAAGUUGCGCCCGAGGCCCAUCGGCCGAGGGCACGCCUGCCUGGGCGUCACGCCAAAACACGCUCCCAACCACCCUCAACGGGAUUCGGGAUGCGGCAUCUGGUCCCUCGUCUCUCAAGGGACGGUGGAACCGAAGAUUGGGCUGCCGGCGUACCGCGCCGGACACAGCGCAUGGUGGGCGUCCUCGCUUUAUCAAUGCAGUGCAUCCGGCGCGCAGCUGGCAUUAUGGCCUUGAACGACCCAACAAACGAAAGCGCACGUCGCUUCGACCGCGACCCCAGGUCAGGCGGGACUACCCCGCUGAGUUUAAGCAUAUAAAUAAGCGGAGGAGAAGAAACUUACAAGGAUUCCCCUAGUAACGGCGAGCGAACGGGGAGCAGCCCAGCUUGAGAAUCGGGCGGCUGUGCCGUCCGAAUUGUAGUCUGGACGAGGCGUCCUCAGCGACGGACCGGGCCCAAGUCCCUGGAAAGGGGCGCCUGGGAGGGUGGAGCCCCGUCCGGCCGGACCCUGUCGCCCCACGAGGCGCCGUCAACGAGUCGGGUUGUUUGGGAAUGCAGCCCAAAUCGGGCGGUAGACUCCGUCCAAGGCUAAAUACAUGCGAGAGACCGAUAGCGAACAAGUACCGCGAGGGAAAGAUGAAAAGGACUUUGAAAAGAGAGUCAAAGAGUGCUUGAAAUUGCCGGGAGGGAAGCGGAUGGGGGCCGGCGAUGCGCCCGGCCGUAUGCGGAACGGCUCUUGCCUGGUCCGCCGCUCGGCUCGGGGUGUGGACUGUUGUCGGCCGCGCCGGCGGCCCAAGCCCGGGGGCCUAGGUGCCCCCGGUGGGCCGUCGUCGGGCACGGCCCGGUACCCGCGCGCCUAGAAGGCGUGUCCCCUCGGGGCACUGCGCUGCAACGGCCUGCGGGCUCCCCAUCCGACCCCGUCUUGAAACACGGACCAAGGAGUCUGACAUGCGUGCGAGUCGACGGGUUCUGAAACCGGGAUGCGCAAGGGAGCUGACGAGCGGGGAGGCCCUCAACGGGCCGCACCGCUGGCCGACCCUGAUCUUCUGUGAAGGGUUCGAGUUGGAGCACGCCUGUCGGGACCCGAAAGAUGGUGAACUAUGCCUGAGCGGGGCGAAGCCAGAGGAAACUCUGGUGGAGGCUCGGAGCGAUACUGACGUGCAAAUCGUCUCGUCUGACUUGGGUAUAGGGGCGAAGACUAAUCGAACCAUCUAGUAGCUGGUUCCCUCCGAAGUUUCCCUCAGGAUAGCUGGAGCCCAUUACGAGUUCUAUCAGGUAAAGGCAAUGAUUAGAGGCAUGGGGACGCAACGUCCUCGGACCUAUUCUCAAACUUUAAAUAGGAUAGGAUGGCGCGGCUGCUUCGGUGAGCCGUGCCAUGGAAUCGGUGCUCCAAGUGGGCCAUUUUGGGUAAGCAGAACUGGCGAUGCGGGAAUGAACCGGAAGCCGGGUUACGGUGCCCAACUGCGCGCUAACCUAGAACCCACAAAGGGUGUUGGUCGAUUAAGACAGCAGGACGGUGGUCAUGGAAGUCGAAUCCGCUAAGGAGUGUGUUAACACUCACCUGCCGAAUCAACUAGCCCCGAAAUGGAUGGCGCUGAAGCGCGCGACCCACACCCGGCCAUCUGGGCGAGCGCCAUGCCCCGAUGAGUAGGAGGGCGCGGCGGCCGCUGCAAAACCCGGGGCGCGAGCCCGGGCGGAGCGGCCGUCGGUGCAGAUCUUGGUGGUAGUAGCAAAUAUUCAAAUGAGAACUUUGAAGGCCGAAGAGGAGAAAGGUUCCAUGUGAACGGCACUUGCACAUGGGUAAGCCGAUCCUAAGGGACGGGGUAACCCCGGCAGAUAGCGCGAUCACGCGCAUCCCCCGAAAGGGAAUCGGGUUAAGAUUUCCCGAGCCGGGAUGUGGCGGUUGACGGCGACGUUAGGAAGUCCGGAGACGCCGGCGGGGGCCUCGGGAAGAGUUAUCUUUUCUGCUUAACGGCCUGCCAACCCUGGAAACGGUUCAGCCGGAGGUAGGG